rnacentral:rRNA from 1 species
GUGGGGAUCUUGGGCAUGGGCGCAGCCUGCCCAGCGACGCCGCGUGUGGGAAGAAGGCCUUCGGGUCGUAAACCACUGUCAGGGGGGAAGAAAAGCAGUCGCCGAACAGGCGGCUGUAUUGACGGUACCUCCAGGAGGAAGCACCGGCCAACUCCGUGCCAGCAGCCGCGGUAAUACNGGAGGGUGCAAGCGUUAUUCGGAAUCACUGGGCGUAAAGGGCGCGUAGGCGGCUGCGCAAGUCAGAUGUGAAAUCCCUCGGCUCACCCGGGGAACUGCAUCUGAAACUGCGUAGCUAGAGUUCGGGAGAGGGCGGCGGAAUUCCCGGUGUAGGGGUGAAAUCCGUAGAUAUCGGGAAGAACACCAGAGGCGAAGGCGGCCGCCUGGACCGAAACUGACGCUGAGGCGCGAAAGCGUGGGUAGCAAACAGGAUUAGAUACCCUGGUAGUCCACGCUGUAAACGUUGGACGCUAGAUGCCGGGGGACGUUAUUGUCUUUCGGUGUCGCAGCUAACGCAUUAAGCGUCCCGCCUGGGGAGUACGGUCGCAAGGCUUGAAACUCAAAGGAAUUUGACGGGGGCCCGCACAAGCGGNGGAGUAUGGNGGGUUAAUUUCGAUGCUACGCGAAGAACCCUUACCUGGGCUUGACAUCCCGGGNAUNCCCUGGAACANGGGGNAGGGCCCNUUNGGGCCNCCCGGGGACAGGGGCUUGAUUGGNUGNCGUNANCUCGNGCCGGGAGGGGUUGGGGUUAAA